AUUGGGUGGGAGAGAGAGGAGACAAAGAAGAUAUCAGGUGGGAGAAAGAGAAGUAGGGAGAGAACAGAGAGGAGAGACAGUGGGAGAGAGAUGAGGUAGAAGAGAGGAGAGAGAGAGAGAGAUCAAGAGGGAAAGCGAUGAGAGAAGAGAGAGGACACAGAGGGGAGAGAUCUGGUGGGAGAAAGGAGUGGGGAGUUAGUGGAGAGAGAGAUUACAUACGGUUUUUUAAGCCUUCGGGCCUAAUUAUGGGCUCUAUUUAAAUAAGUAUAUGUAUCAGAUAUUUUCUAGCAAUCUACUUUCGUGAUUGAAAGUUAAUCUUAUAAUAAUCAAAAUCUUCUUUGUAGAUAAGGUGGAUCUUAGAUCAUAAUGAUAUAGGUAGGACUCUUUCAAAUAGGGACCCGCAUUUUCUUUCCAUCCAUGCUAGUCC
rnacentral:lncRNA from 1 species